rnacentral:rRNA from 1 species
GGUUAAGUGACUAAGCGUACACGGUGGAUGCCUUGGCAGUCAGAGGCGAUGAAAGACGUAGUAACUUGCGAUAAGCCCAGAUUAGGUAGUAACAACCAUUUGAGUCUGGGAUUUCUGAAUGGGGAAACCCACGUGCAUAAGCACGUAUCCUUACCUGAAUACAUAGGGUAAGGAGGCGAACCGGGGGAACUGAAACAUCUAAGUACCCCGAGGAAAAGAAAUCAACCGAGAUUCCGAAAGUAGCGGCGAGCGAAAUUGGACUAGCCCUUAAGCUUUACACGCGUUAGACGAACGGUCUGGAAAGUCCGACGAUACAGGGUGAUAGUCCCGUAGUUGACGACGUGUGUUCAGUGAAAUCGAGUAGGGCGGGACACGUGAUAUCCUGUCUGAAUAUGGGGGGACCAUCCUCCAAGGCUAAAUACUACUGACUGACCGAUAGUGAACCAGUACCGUGAGGGAAAGGCGAAAAGAACCCCUGUGAGGGGAGUGAAAUAGAACCUGAAACCGUGUACGUACAAGCAGUAGGAGCAGGCUUUGUCCUGUGACUGCGUACCUUUUGUAUAAUGGGUCAGCGACUUAUAUUCAGUGGCAAGGUUAACCAUCUAGGGGAGCCGUAGGGAAACCGAGUCUUAACUGGGCGUUCAGUCUCUGGAUAUAGACCCGAAACCAGGUGAUCUAGCCAUGGGCAGGUUGAAGGUUGAGUAACAUCAACUGGAGGACCGAACCGACUAAUGUUGAAAAAUUAGCGGAUGACUUGUGGCUAGGGGUGAAAGGCCAAUCAAACCUGGAGAUAGCUGGUUCUCCCCGAAAGCUAUUUAGGUAGCGCCUCGGACGAAUACUACUGGGGGUAGAGCACUGUUAAGGCUAGGGGGUCAUCCCGACUUACCAACCCUUUGCAAACUCCGAAUACCAGUAAGUACUAUCCGGGAGACACACGGCGGGUGCUAACGUCCGUCGUGGAGAGGGAAACAACCCAGACCGCCAGCUAAGGUCCCAAAUUACUACUAAGUGGGAAACGAUGUGGGAAGGCUCAGACAGCCAGGAUGUUGGCUUAGAAGCAGCCAUCAUUUAAAGAAAGCGUAAUAGCUCACUGGUCGAGUCGGCCUGCGCGGAAGAUGUAACGGGGCUAAGUAGUAAACCGAAGCUGCGGCAAUAUACUUUUGUAUAUUGGGUAGGGGAGCGUUCUGUAAGCGGUUGAAGGUGUGUGGUAACGCAUGCUGGACGUAUCAGAAGUGCGAAUGCUGACAUGAGUAACGAUAAAGGGGGUGAAAAACCUCCUCGCCGGAAGACCAAGGGUUCCUGUCCAACGUUAAUCGGGGCAGGGUAAGUCGACCCCUAAGGCGAGGCCGAAAGGCGUAGUCGAUGGGAAACGGGUUAAUAUUCCCGUACUUCUUACAAUUGCGAUGGGGGGACGGAGAAGGCUAGGUGGGCCUGGCGACGGUUGUCCAGGUUCAAGUGCGUAGGCUUAAGAGUUAGGUAAAUCCGGCUCUUUUUAAGGCUGAGACACGACGUCGAGCACCUACGGGUGUGAAGUCAUUGAUGCCAUGCUUCCAGGAAAAGCCUCUAAGCUUCAGAUUGUAAGGAAUCGUACCCCAAACCGACACAGGUGGUCGGGUAGAGAAUACCAAGGCGCUUGAGAGAACUCGGGUGAAGGAACUAGGCAAAAUGGUACCGUAACUUCGGGAGAAGGUACGCUCUUGAUGGUGAAGUCCCUUGCGGAUGGAGCUGACGAGAGUCGCAGAUACCAGGUGGCUGCAACUGUUUAUUAAAAACACAGCACUGUGCAAAAUCGUAAGAUGACGUAUACGGUGUGACGCCUGCCCGGUGCCGGAAGGUUAAUUGAUGGGGUUAGACUUCGGUCGAAGCUCUUGAUCGAAGCCCCGGUAAACGGCGGCCGUAACUAUAACGGUCCUAAGGUAGCGAAAUUCCUUGUCGGGUAAGUUCCGACCUGCACGAAUGGCGUAAUGAUGGCCACGCUGUCUCCACCCGAGACUCAGUGAAAUUGAAAUCGCUGUGAAGAUGCAGUGUACCCGCGGCUAGACGGAAAGACCCCGUGAACCUUUACUACAGCUUGGCACUGAACAUUGACCCUACAUGUGUAGGAUAGGUGGGAGGCUUUGAAGCAGGUACGCCAGUAUCUGUGGAGCCGUCCUUGAAAUACCACCCUUGUAGUGUUGAUGUUCUAACGUUGACCCCUUAUCGGGGUUGCGGACAGUGCCUGGUGGGUAGUUUGACUGGGGCGGUCUCCUCCCAAAGAGUAACGGAGGAGCACGAAGGUGGGCUAAUCACGGUUGGACAUCGUGAGGUUAGUGCAAUGGCAUAAGCCCGCUUGACUGCGAGAAUGACAAUUCGAGCAGGUGCGAAAGCAGGUCAUAGUGAUCCGGUGGUUCUGAAUGGAAGGGCCAUCGCUCAACGGAUAAAAGGUACUCCGGGGAUAACAGGCUGAUACCGCCCAAGAGUUCAUAUCGACGGCGGUGUUUGGCACCUCGAUGUCGGCUCAUCACAUCCUGGGGCUGAAGUCGGUCCCAAGGGUAUGGCUGUUCGCCAUUUAAAGUGGUACGCGAGCUGGGUUUAGAACGUCGUGAGACAGUUCGGUCCCUAUCUGCCGUGGGCGUUGGAAGAUUGAAGGGGGCUGCUCCUAGUACGAGAGGACCGGAGUGGACGAACCUCUGGUGUUCGGGUUGUGUCGCCAGACGCAUUGCCCGGUAGCUAAGUUCGGAAUCGAUAACCGCUGAAAGCAUCUAAGCGGGAAGCGAGCCCUGAGAUGAGUCUUCCCUGAUACUUUAAGUAUCCUAAAGGGUUGUCGGAGACUACGACGUUGAUAGGUCAGGUGUGUAAGUGCUGUGAGGCAUUGAGCUAACUGAUACUAAUUGCCCGUGAGGCUUAACCAU